UACGUAGGGACCGAGCGUUGUCCGGAUUCAUUGGGCGUAAAGAGCUCGUAGGCGGCCACUCAAGUCGAAUGUGAAACCUCGAGGCUUAACCUCGAGCCUGCAUUCGAUACUGGGCGGCUAGAGUCUGGUAGGGGGAUCUGGAAUUCCUGGUGUAGCGGUGGAAUGCGCAGAUAUCAGGAGGAACACCAAUGGCGAAGGCAGCACUCUGGGACGUGACUGACGCUGAGACGCGAAAGCGUGGGGAGCAAACAGG
rnacentral:rRNA from 1 species